UAAGGAAUCUUGCGCAAUGGGCGAAAGCCUGACGCAGCGACACCGCGUGAGGGAUGAAGGCCUUCGGGUUGUAAACCUCUGUCAGGGGGAACGAAACUCCGGUUGGCGAAUAACCGAUCGGACUGACGGUACCUCCAAAGGAAGCGCCGGCUAACUCCGUGCCAGCAGCCGCGGUAAGACGGAGGGCGCGAACGUUGUUCGGAAUCACUGGGCGUAAAGGGCGCGUAGGCGGACCGGUAAGUCGAGGGUGAAAUUCCAGGGCUCAACUCUGGAACUGCCUUUGAAACUGCCGGUCUAGAGUGCAGGAGAGGAAGGCGGAAUUCCAGGUGUAGCGGUGGAAUGCGUAGAUAUCUGGAAGAACACCAGUGGCGAAGGCGGCCUUCUGGACUGACACUGACGCUGAUGCGCGAAAGCUGGGGGAGCAAACAG
rnacentral:rRNA from 1 species